CCAAGGACACCUCUUUUUAGUUUAAAUCGGAAUCCUCUCGGAUGCAGCAGUAAAGGAUUUGGUCCGCAGGAGUUUAGCGGUGGGCUUCUCCUGCUGCAAUUCUUUUUUCCUUCCUGAUAGGAUGUCACACAGUGCAAUCCCUGCCUGGAUCCUCCCUGAGUCCACUGGAGGUGGGAUAUCUCCCUUCAGCCCCACUGUAUCCUUUACCCGUGUGCCGCGGGUGGGGGGGAAUCCAGCAUCAGCCAGGCGGCGAAAUGGCACGCAGGGGAGGGGGGGGGGGGAGAGGACAGUCCCUNAGAGGACAGUCCCUAGGGUUCUAGAUUCCAACUUCGAUGUAGGGUACUGCAGUCAAAUCACACGGCUAAGGAUGACAAUCGAGCAGCGUGUCAGGAUCAGAAUCAGAAUGUUCUGUGGCAAAAUCUCACUCAGUAGAUGGGAAGGAGAAAAGAGAGAGACCCGCAGAUUGGAGGGCUGGAUAUCACACUGCCAAACAUUUGCAUGGAUUUGAAGACCACACUGUCUGUAAAAGCUGGUGGAGCCCAAGGAACAAAACAGGAACAAUUGAAGCAUAUUCUUCUCAAGCAGAACAACACUUCUGUGGCGAGAGCUGAAGGAAAUGCAUUGUUUUGAUAGGAAUUUUUUUUAUUAACAGGCUGUUCAAAAUAAACAAAAUGAUUUGAUUCA
rnacentral:lncRNA from 1 species